rnacentral:rRNA from 1 species
AUUGAACGCUGGCGGCAUGCCUUACACAUGCAAGUCGAACGGUAACAGGUUAAGCUGACGAGUGGCGAACGGGUGAGUAAUAUAUCGGAACGUGCCCAGUAGUGGGGGAUAGCCCGGCGAAAGCCGGAUUAAUACCGCAUACGACCUACGGGUGAAAGGGGGGGAUCGCAAGACCUCUCGCUAUUGGAGCGGCCGAUAUCAGAUUAGGUAGUUGGUGGGGUAAAGGCCUACCAAGCCUGCGAUCUGUAGUUGGUCUGAGAGGACGACCAGCCACACUGGGACUGAGACACGGCCCAGACUACUACGGGAGGCAGCAGUGGGGAAUUUUGGACAAUGGGCGCAAGCCUGAUCCAGUAAUGCCGCGUGCAGGAAGAAGGCCUUCGGGUUGUAAACUGCUUUUGUCAGGGAAGAAAUCCUCUGGGUUAAUACCUCGGGGGGAUGACGGUACCUGAAGAAUAAGCACCGGCUAACUACGUGCCAGCCGCCGCGGUAAGAC